AACUGAUACUACCUGCGGGAACCUGCGGAAGGAUCAUUACUGAGUGCGGGUUCCAAUGAGCCCAACCUCCCACCCGUGUUUACCGUAACCGCGUUGCCUCGGCGGGCCCACUGGGGCCUGUCCCCGGUCGCCGGGGGGCAUCUGCCCCCGGGCCCGCGCCCGCCGAAGCGCCCUAGAACCCUGCCUGAACAGUGAGUCUGAGUGAGUGAUUGAAUCAUUAAAACUUUUAACAACGGAUCU
rnacentral:misc_RNA from 1 species